CUCGAGGCCGGUCCCCUUGUGCGGUGGGGGCAGCGGUGCCCCCCCACUCCCGGCCGCACCCCUGCUCCCUGGCCCGGACCCCCGGGAGGAAGUAGGGGGUGGAAUGCGGUGUGGCAAGGGUGCGGGGAGGGGCGAGGAGGGCCGAGGCGAGGGCCGGGGGUGGGGCACCUCCGCCUGCCAGACGCUCCCGCAUUAAAAUUUCUUGGGCGCUGCAGCAGCUACAAAGACGAUGCCGGCUGCGCUCGGGGGACCAGAGGGAGGGAGGCUGCGGACGAGUACGGGGAGGAGUUUGCGAUGGGAGGCGCUUGCAGGGGCUCCCCAGUUCUGCGCUGUGAGCCCGGGCACAAAGAGACCUCUGCACUCGAGCCGCAGGACCGCCGACUCGAGGUGAGCCGCCGCCCCAUCCUCACAGCGCCCUCUCCCCAGGUAUCCCUGUUUCCGCCCCUGGAACAGCCUAAUCCCCCGAGGGUGGAGGCAUCUCUCCGCCUGCCUGUGUCGCUCCAGACACGUUCACAAGGCCACCGUGGCCCUAACAGCAUCGGAGGAGCGGCCAAGAGGACCCGUCCUCUCCUCGGUGCGCCCGUGGGGCGGUAGAGACCAGCACCGUGCUCACGCCUGUCUACCGUGAAAUCCGUGCAUGCUGAGACCUGGACCUCCGAGCUGUCAGCCUGACCUGGGAGCUAGCGUUGUCCAUGAGAACACCAUCGUCUCACUGACCUCCAGGAUGGGCACACAAGGGCCAGGGGACAGGGUCUCUCUGGUCACAUGGUGCUCCCCGGAGGACGUCUUUGCAGGGCGCAGCAAGUUCCUGGGGCAGAGUGGGAGAAGGGGAUUUCCGAGUGCUUCCGGAUGGCUAAGGCCUCGCGGGGAGGCCGCCUUGCAGAUAAGUAUUCGAACUUACCAGCCCACAGCCUCCCAGCCUGCCCCUCCUGGUCUGUGCAGGCACGUGUCCCCAGGUGGGAGGGGACCUUGGUGAUAUGGCUCACUCACUUUUCUUCCUCUGUGCCACAAAGAAAGAGCUUGUCCCCACGUGAUGGGGCCCCACGAAAGGUAAUUUCCACACCCCGCUUUGGGCGUCCAGGCUAGUAUUUUAGAAAGCCCACUGGUAGGAAGUGCUGAGAGGCCGAGUUGAAUGGCUUCAUCUGAGAAGUGGCAGAUGUGGUCUCAGAAGGAGGCUGGGUCUGUCCUCAGUGUCGGCCCCUCGUCAUCAUAUUUAUAUGACUCGGCCAGGGCUCCUUUGCUUGGCGGUCAAGUGGGGACGGCAGCCACUGCCCGGAGGACCCCUUCUUCUCAGUGCCACUCCUAGACCUGUGCCCCACGUCCCAGGUGCCGGCAGCGAGUUCUGAAAUGUGUGGAGGGCUAUUGACUCUUCCAGCCCAGGCCUGCCAGUUGACGAAGGUGGCUUAUCUGCCACCCAGGGCAAAACCCGGGAGAUGGUCCGAGCCAGAAUCAGUGGGCACCUGACGGAGGGGCGGGCAGAAAAAUAACUGUGGCUGAGCAGCACCAGGGCCCCUGCUCUGUCCUGCCCACUGCCACUGCUGUGCACCGCAGCGACUGUCGGGGCUGGAAGGGUCCCACGGCUCCGGGGUGGGGGGGACAGACUCUCCAGGACUACCCAGCAGGGCGGAGCUGGGAUCCGCUCUCCCCACUCCUGACUCUGUUCCGUCUUUCCUGGGUCCCAUUCCGCUGUUGUUGGGGACCAGGCAAGUGGGUGAAAACUGUUCUGGGGUGGGAGGAAGGGAGGAGGAGGAGUGUGACGUGCCUGGGCCCCGCCUCUCUGGCUCUCAAGCCUUCCUCUUGUUAGCAGAGAAUGCAGCCUAGGCUCGGGUCUGGGUCUGGGUCUAGGCCUGGGAGGGGGCUGCUUGCAGUUUUCUCCUGCAGUGUGGUUGGCUCUUUUGUCUUCCAGGAUGGGCCUGUGGGGCUGUACGUGGGAGCCGGGACCUGGCCCGGGGUACCGAAGUGUUGGCUGGGCGUGGCCAGCACUCGCACGGACCAAGCCCUCUCCCAGCCCGACGAUCCAGAAGCGAACACCGUAGACGUGGUUCUGCCCUCGCAGAUGAUCGCGUGAGAAUGUGCCCUGUCACAGUCUCGGUGAGGCAGUGAGCUCCCCGUCCUGGGAGGUGACCCCGUCGCUCCGGGACUCCUGGCCUGGUCUCAUCGUUGGAGCCCACGGGACUGCGGCCGCAGGGGCACGGGAGCAGCCUCCGGUGGUUUUCUGGAAUCCUCGCUCUUUCUCCCAAGACCUUCGUCUGCCCGACUUCUGGGAUGGAGCCUCUCCUGGAGGGAUACCGGGCCCUCCUGGUCAAUGCUCAGGGACAUGGGGACCUGGCCAGGGAGGCCAGCUCCAGGGGUGUGAGGGCGGCCGGCAGCCCACCGCCCCCUCGGCAGCCGCCUGGACCCACCUCCGGGGCCCUCACUUUCUGACUUUGCGCAGAAUUGGCUCCUCCUUGAAUGUCUGCCGGUGGGAGGAGCCAGCCUGGGCAGAGGCCCCACUGACUCCACCCUCCCCCAGGCCGGGUCCCACGGACCCCACAGGAUGUGUGUGUGUUGGGGGUGGGGGUGGGGCAGGAGCGCGCUCGGGGUGGGAGUCGGGAGGAGCUGCCAGUGGGAGGGAGGGCAGACGCGGCUCCGCUCAGUCUGUUCUGCGCCAUCUGCCUUGCGAGUGGUGCUCGCUGUGGGGGACGCUGUUGGGUGGGGCUAUUUCGUGCUCGCCUUCUUUCUGAUGGCCCCUGGGAGGAGGCGGUCAGGGUCUGGGAGGGGCGGCUGUGGGGGGUGGGAUGGGUGUGCUGUACUGAAAGAGGAGAGUUUCUGCCGAGACAGGAGGAGACCCAGCCCAGGGGCUCCCCAGGAGACAGACCCUGGCCCCUGCUCCCAGCACCCAAAGGGCGCGGGCGGGACCUCAGAGCCCUGCUCCUCGAUUCCGUCGUUGUGGGGCGAGGGCAGGCAGGGCAGG